UACGUAGGGGGCGAGCGUUGUCCGGAUUUAUUGGGCGUAAAGCGCGCGCAGGUGGUGCGGUAAGUCUGCCGUGAAAUCUCCCGGCUCAACUGGGAGGGGGCGGUGGAGACUGCCGGACUGGAGGGACCUAGAGGCCGGUGGAAUUCCCGGUGGAGUGGUGAAAUGCGUAGAGAUCGGGAGGAACACCAGUGGCGAAGGCGGCCGGCUGGGGGUGCCCUGACGCUGAGGCGCGAAAGCGUGGGGAGCGAACCGG
rnacentral:rRNA from 1 species